rnacentral:tRNA from 1 species
UGGGGCGUAGCCAAGUUGGUAAGGCACCAGGUUUUGGUCCUGGCAUACGGAGGUUCGAAUCCUUCCGCCCCAGCCA